UACGAAGGGGGCUAGCGUUGUUCGGAUUCAUUGGGCGUAAAGGGUGCGCAGGCGGCGCGGUAAGUCGGGUGUGAAAUCUCGGAGCUUAACUCCGAAACUGCAUUCGAUACUGCCGUGCUUGAGGACUGGAGAGGAGACUGGAAUUUACGGUGUAGCGGUGAAAUGCGUAGAUAUCGUAAGGAAGACCAGUGGCGAAGGCGGGUCUCUGGACAGUUCCUGACGCUGAGGCACGAAGGUCAGGGGAGCAAACGGG
rnacentral:rRNA from 1 species